ACUGUUCAGCAACAGAAGGAACAAACUAUCAAACAGAAGAAAGUGGGAAAGUUUGAAAUGCAUUAUGCUGAAAGAAUAAACCAGUCUUAAAAGCAACUCCCUCUUUCUUAAUCCAACCCUGUGGAGAUCUUUCAGCAAGUCUUAUUAGAGCCAAGUCUACUUCAUGGGAAACUGCCCGAUUUUCCAGAGUUUGCUGUUUCACUUUCCAUUGGGAUGAGUAGAGUGUGAAUUCUGCUUUAGAUACUUUCAGCAUUGUAUUGUCAAUGUUUUUGGUUAAUUUUUGCUAUUCUACUAAGUGUAUGAUGAAAUUUUAUGAUGAUGCAUUUCCUAGUAACUUGUAGUGUUAAAAAUUAAUGUACGUA